UGUGCCGAAGCGAGCUCUAACACGUUUAUCUCGCAAAUUCCGCUCCGUUGCCCCUUUCCGUCCCGUCAUAACAAGACCGCCGGGACUAUGCACGCUUCAGAUGCACCCUCGAGCAAAUAAAAUUAAUCUGUCGUCUUCCAUCCGCUCGUCCACACGACGGGCAGCGCCGAGCGACGGGGGCGGGACGGAGGAACAGAGUCUCCCGUCCGCCAGGACUCUGGCCGCCCUGCGUUGGAGAGGCGGAAUGUCACGGACGGGCGUGAGGUCAAAACUCACAGGCUCUAUCCUGGAAGCUUUGGCUUCUUACACGCGCUGAAGGGGAGCAGAAGGCUGAGGGGAAUACCAGGCCGAGCCGCGGAUCGCCGCUAAUGUGGAAAGCGGCACAGGCAUGCCGGACCUUUCCGGAUGGACGACACGAUGCUGCGGAAUAAUCUGGACUGCAUCCAUCCCUGUGGGAUCCACUCUCUCCAGAGCCCAAGAGUCGUCUCUGGCAAACAUUCUGGAACCUUGUGCUCGGAAUUCCCCCGGCAACGGUGAACACGGGGUGGGGGCGAUCUUUCGCGAUAUUUCGCAAUUUUUUUGAAUCCCUUGCCGCAGACUCUUGCUCUGUGGCUCCGUGGCGACCAGCUCUGCCUGCUGAUUUGGGUUAAUCGACCAUCCUAAGGGUCAAAUAGCCGGGUCCAGUCGCACCCAAAGCUUCCUGGGUCCGCCUGACGCCCAGCUGGUUCCGCCGAGGUGCCCCGUUGACUUGCCCACUCUUGUCCCCUACGGCCAAAUAAGAAUGGUGUAGGCCGAGGGUCAGGAAGGCCUUGAGAACCAGUCUUCGCUCCCACUGAGGGUCUUCUGGCCCUUCUGAUGUUUGCAGGCAGGACCAGGGAGGAUGAAAGGAGCCCUGAUGGACGCCCCACCCUUACUCCACACAUCCAGUCUGUCCCUGAAGAGCAACGCAGUCACCUCUCCACAUGCACUUUACUCACCCUUUGUCCAUAUUUUCCUAAUGGAUGGCUGUACUGAGCUCUAUGCCCAGCCACCCCCCCCCCCAUAUCCCUGCUUCUCUCCAAGUCUGUCAGCAGUAGGAGCCCUGUCACUCGCUGAUUGGCCGAUGCUCCUCAUUUGAAGCGGCUUUUCCGUUCCCUCACGCGCUCCGAAAGAUCCCUAAUGAAAGGGCUGCAUUGUUCUUUCCUAUCUAGCUGUGUCUCCCGCUUGUCGGGGCUGAUUGCCUUCUUCUCUUGUGGUGACAGGGAUUAUAAGGUGAUUUAUAUGUGUUUACUUCCCAUGCCAAUAGUCUGCACCCUCUUUCCCAUUAUCUCUCCCAAACGUUUCCUCUUGGGCUAAAUUCCCCCUCAAUCUGGACCGGAGCACCUCUGCCACAAUCGCAUGCCUGAUACAACAAUCCUACGACUAACGAAAUGUACUCAGAUAAUUUGCUACCGAUUAUUCAAGCGAGAGGAAGAGUCCCAAUAAGUCAUUGUUACUGCUGGCCCAGGGAUAUUUGGUUCCCCUUAUUGUAGAAUACCCAUCCUGUAUAACCUUCCGGACUGGAUUCCGUAAGUACAGUCAGUCACCUUUAUUGAUUCUGACAGACAAACUCUUUGAAAAGAAUCGGCAAACUCAGCAGUGUCUCCAUUUGGAUGCAGCCAGCUGUCAAAGUCGAAGACGACAGUGUGAUCUGAUUGGCUCGUGUCUUCAGACACCUUUCCGCAGGAGCCUAUCAGUCACUCCCGACGCAGAGCAGAUAUUCAUGAAUCUGCUUGUGAACUUGAUGACUUUCUUUGCUGUGGAAGCCACUGAUUUAUAAUUGAUCCGAUUAAGCGUCUGGGCACAAAUGAAUUCUCGCUCACGCAAGCCUUCGUCAUCAAUCUUGGCCGGGGA